GCAGCCCUGGGGAUUGCCUGGGGCCCAGGUCUGUGUGGCACUUUCCAUUGUGCUGUCUCGCCGGGAGCGUUGCGCUCUGGGAGACUGGACCUGGGCGACUCCUAGCAUGGGAUUAUAUAAGACAGAGGCAGCCGAGGAGCCGUAGCAGAUACUCCCCCCGUUGUGUGGUGGUUUAGUGCCAGGGAAAGCCGACGGCUUUGUCUACACUGGCACUUUUGUGGCUCAGGAGUGUGAAGAGACAUCUCCCUGCAUGACAAGCGUCAGGGAUGCAACGUGCCAGUGUGGACCGUGCUUCCUUGGCAGGAGCCGCUGGACGUGGCUCUGUCAGCAGAAGAGGGUGUGGCUGCAGGGGCCCGGCUCCGCCAUUGCACGGCGCGCAGGGCAGGCACCGCCUAAGGACUUUGAACCGCUACUGAGGAGCCAAGCAAGUAACUAGCUGCCAGGACAGAGGGACCGAGCACACAAGCCCCAGUGUGAACAGCUGGGCACUCUCAUGCACUUGUAUGCACAUCAGGGCACCUCCAUGUGCUCACACACAUGCACCACAUACAUACGCGUGCUGCACAGCCAUCCAAACACAUGUAUGUAAACAAUAUGCCCCGUGUGCAUGCGCUAUGUUCAUGUGCUGUGUGCUCUCUGCUGUGCCUGUGCUCGCUGGCAAGGGGCAGCUCCCCACUUUUCGAUAAUCCUAGACUCCUGGAUCUACCACUGAGGGCCUGAUCCUGUACUCCUUGCACACACAACGAUUCCCACCGAGGGGCGUUGCCUCGCCGUGCCUCAGUUUCCCCCUCAGUAACGGGCCCACCGCUGACGCUGUCCGAAAUGCAGAAGGACAUUUGGAUCCAGGUGUGGCACAUCCUCUUUCCUCCCUGCCAGAGGCGACUUCUCUGAAAUCCUCUAUGCUGGGCGUUGGCCGGACUCUGCGCUUGCUGAACAGCCCGGCUGGGUGGCUUUCGUUCCUCCGAGGGAGGUGUGCCACUGGCACGCUGCUCCAGGCAGUGAUUCAGCCCCUGGGUUAAUCAUUGACUCCUCCCUUCUCUCUUCUCCCUCCUCACGCCUGAGAUCGCUUUGAUUCCUGCCAGGGCAGCACUGCAGCCUGGGCUGCCCUGGGUUUGUUUCUGUCUGGCCCCACGGCACCUGCAGCAUUCAAGGGCUUUGGAACCUUUGACUGACUUGCUGAAAAAGCAGCAUCAAGGCACCGGGGCAGCGGUGCCUGAAAGCGAGGGGAGCCUGGGCUGCGCUGUGUCGCUGUGUGGUGAGGGCCGGUCGCGCCGGGACUGAGCCCCGGAUUCUCCUGGUGAAAGCGUUCCCCGGGCUGGAGGACGUCUGGAGGGGAAGACCCCACCCCAGGGAGCCUACCCCAGGCCAGCGGGGCCCCUGGGAACUUGGAGAGCCAGAGCCAGCCCAUUUCAGAAGACCGCAGGGAAAGCAUGACUGAGGUGGAGCCUGUACUGGACUUCGCAUCCUCUGGGAGGACCGGUCGCAGGAACGCCCUCCCUGACAUCCUGGGCUCGCCGGCCGGCGUCAGCCCCUCCGACCUGCCUCUGAAACUAGCAGAAAUGUCUCUAAGCUCAGACCGGUCCCAGGAGAUGCAGUCCCCGUCCACAGAGGUGCCCCCGCAGCAGCCGCAAAGCCCAGAGCUGAAGGACACAUCGUAACGCCGCCCCGGGAUGCAUUUCUGAGCAGCGGGGCAAGGCGAGACCGCGGAGCAUCGACACAGCUUGACUGGUGGGGCCUGGAGAGCUGGGUUUCCCUUGGUGCUAUGCAGCAAGAACAUCUUGUGCUCCCGGGAGCGGGGGCGUAGAGGCGCCUCACGGGGACUAGCAGCCACGCGUGUGGCCAGGCGGGGGAAAUCCCUGCGGGGACCCGUCUCUGCGGUGACGUUUGAGGACACAGACUGAGGAGCCGGGCGCUCGUUUUGGGCCACACCCAAGCAGCUGCACGGAGCUGCGGCUGCAGUGUCUCCGUGCCGGGAUUGCGCCUAGCCCCCCGGCUGUUCCGCGCGGAGAAGGCUCCUUCACUGUGAUGUUCUGAGCACAAGUCCCCUGUCUUGUCUUUUCUAAGAGAUGAUCCCGUAUCCUUAGGCAGGGCCCCGGAGCAGGCUGGGGCGGCCGGCGCAGAAGGAGGCUGUGGCACAUUCUCCUCUUGUCCGGCAAACAGACGUGACCCUUCCUAGGCCGGGCCCUGCUCAUGCUUAACCCCUGCGACUUGCGGGGUCAGGCUGCCCCAGCCCUGGCUC